GACGAACGCUGGCGGCGUGCUUAACACAUGCAAGUCGAACGGAAAGGCCCUGCUUGCAGGGUACUCGAGUGGCGAACGGGUGAGUAACACGUGGGUGAUCUGCCCUGCACUUCGGGAUAAGCCUGGGAAACUGGGUCUAAUACCGGAUAGGAGCCAUUUUUAGUGUGAUGGUUGGAAAGUUUUUUUCGGUGUAGGAUGAGCUCGCGACCUAUCAGCUUGUUGGUGGGGUAAUGGCCUACCAAGGCGGCGACGGGUAGCCGGCCUGAGAGGGUGGACGGCCACAUUGGGACUGAGAUACGGCCCAGACUCCUACGGGGGGCAGCAGUGGGGAAUAUUGCACAAUGGGCGCAAGCCUGAUGCAGCGACGCCGCGUGGGGGAUGACGGCCUUCGGGUUGUAAACUCCUUUCGCUAGGGACGAAGCUUUUUGUGACGGUACCUAGAUAAGAAGCACCGGCUAACUACGUG
rnacentral:rRNA from 1 species